AGGUCUACCUUGAUGUAGAUAUAAUAACCCUUUUGCAGAGUGUAUGGCGAUUCUCAUUCUUUUCGGCCAUUCCAAAAUCUCAUCUUUUUCAUGUAAAUGAUCUGUCAAGGUAUCAUUGGGAACAAACUCUAAAACAAGUAAUCUAUCGGCUCCCUGAGUGCAGUGCCCAAUCAUCUUAACAAUAUUUGGGUGUUUCACACAGCUAAGGUACUCACCCUCCUCCAAUUUAUCUUCCAACUUUAUUUUUUUAAGUUUCUUGAUAGCAACCAC
rnacentral:misc_RNA from 1 species